CAACCCUCGGGGUUCCUGACCUUGCUUGCCUUGACCUCCAAGACUUGUUUGCCCUGUCCUGCCAUGACAGAUCUACUAGUUGGGCCUCAGGCCUGACCUCUGAAGACAUCAAGUUCAUCAUUCUUGGCCUGCAGCCCCCUAGUCUCGAUUCCUGAUCCAUCUCUGCAUGUCCGGCCCUGACAGGAACCACCCACACCUCAAACUUUCAAAUAUACCACACAGCAUGUGGCCCUGGAGUUAAUCAAGCUGCGAGACAAUGUUCUGAAUUGGAAUUAGACUCUGCCUCUCCUUUUAGAAAAGCAGCCAUAGGAAACUAACACAGUCUGGAACACGAAGAGAUGUGAAAAUGCCUGGUGCAACAAAUGGUACAUAAAAGACACUCCAUAAAGCAACAGGAGAUAUUGGGAUGGGAAAUGGAAGCUAGACUCCAGAGGGAAGAGCUUUUUCUAUGGAACAAAGAUUUGAAGAAAGGGAGAGCAUUAAAGCCA